rnacentral:rRNA from 1 species
UACGAAGGGGGCUAGCGUUGCUCGGAAUUACUGGGCGUAAAGUGUGCGCAGGCGGCAGAGCAAGUCGAGUGUGAAAGCCCCGGGCUUAACUUGGGAAUUGCGCUCGAAACUACUUUGCUGGAGUGUGGCAGAGGAAGGUGGAAUUCCAGGUGUAGCGGUGAAAUGCGUAGAGAUCUGGAGGAACACCGAUGGCGAAGGCAGCCUUCUGGGCCAACACUGACGCUCAUGCACGAAAGCGUGGGGAGCAAACAGG